rnacentral:rRNA from 1 species
UAGGGAAUCUUCCACAAUGGACGCAAGUCUGAUGGAGCAACGCCGCGUGAGUGAAGAAGGCUUUUCGGGUCGUAAAACUCUGCUAUUGAAGAAGAACGUGUGUGACAGUAGCUGGUCAUGCAGUGACGGUAUUCAAUCAGAAGAGUCACGGCUAACUACGUGCCAGCAGCCGCGGUAAUACGUAGGUGGCAAGCGUUGUCCGGAUUUAUUGGGCGUAAAGCGANUGCAGGCGGUCUUUUAAGUCUGAUGUGAAAGCCUUCGGCUUAACCGAAGAAGGGCAUCGGAAACUGGGAGACUUGAGUGCAGAAGAGGAGAGUGGAACUCCAUGUGUAGCGGUGAAAUGCGUA